rnacentral:rRNA from 1 species
UACGAAGGGGGCUAGCGUUGCUCGGAAUCACUGGGCGUAAAGGGUGCGUAGGCGGAUCUUUAAGUCAGGGGUGAAAUCCUGGAGCUCAACUCCAGAACUGCCUUUGAUACUGAAGAUCUUGAGUUCGGGAGAGGUGAGUGGAACUGCGAGUGUAGAGGUGAAAUUCGUAGAUAUUCGCAAGAACACCAGUGGCGAAGGCGGCUCACUGGCCCGAUACUGACGCUGAUGCACGAAAGCGUGGGGAGCAAACAGG